GCCUCUGUAGCUUAGUGGCAGAGCACUGGUCUUGUAAACCAGGGGUCGUGAGUUCAAUCCUCAGAGGAGACC